UAUUAUUAUCUCUACUAUUUAAUUUAAAUAAUUUUUUUUCAUUUUCUAUAAAAUUAUUAUUCAUGCUAUAUGGGAAAAAACAAUUAUGCCUAUAACUACAAUCACAAUAAUAAUAAUAAUAAUAAUAAUAAUGUUAAAAAAAAUAAAACAGUACCACAUUAUAUACAUACAGCAAAUAAUAAUAAUAAUAAUAAUAAUAAUAGUAUAUAUGAAGAAGUAGAUAAAAUUAAUAAUAUAACUUUUGGAUCAAAUUAUAAUAAUCAAGAUUGUUUUUUCCCAUAUAGCAUGAAUAAUAAUUUUAUAGAAAAUGAAAAAAAAUUAUUUAAAUUAAAUAGUAGAGAUAAUAAUAACAUAAAAAAUUUUGAAUUUGCAAUGAAAAAAAAUAAUUUUGCAAUAAAUAAUAAUAUUAAUAAAAAUUCAAAAUUUAGUAAUAAAAGUAAAACAAGUGCAGUGGGACCUAAUUUUAAACAAUCUGAUGAAUAUAUGGAUAACGAAUCAAAGGCUAGCAAAUCGAAGGAUAUCGAACAUAAAAAGAGCAGAAAUAACGACACUGGAGAAGAGAAAAAAAAAAAAACAAAAGAGUAUGUACCAAACGAACAUAAUAAUGAUUGUAGUAACAUAAACAAACACAUCAGUCAUAAAGAUGAAAUAUUUUAUAAGGAUGGAAUGGAUAAAAAGCAAGAUGAUGAUUUAUUCCAUUUUGAUAAUAAGGUCUCAGAUUUAACAAAAUUAAUAAACAAGAGUAUAUUUGAUUCGAAUAAUAAUGAUGAAGAAAUAAACAAUGAACAAUUAGUAGAAGAUAAAUCUAUAUUCGAUUUUAAUAAUAUAAAUACAUAUAUGAUGAAUGAAGAAAAUACUAGUGAUAAGAUUCCCCAAAUUAACAGUAUUAUAAAUCACAAUAAAAAUAAUACAGAUAACGAUAGUAAUGCAUUUACUAGUAACAAUAACACAAAAGGAUUUAAAGAUAAUUUAAUGAAAUAUACAGAAAAUAAAUUAGAAAACUUGGAAAAGUCGGAAAAGUUGGAAAAGUUGGAAAAGUUGGAAAAGUUGGCAAAAUGGGGAAAAUGGAAAAAGUUGGAAAAACGAGAAGAAACGGAGUGGGUACAUGUAGGAACAAAAGAAUG
rnacentral:lncRNA from 1 species